UGCGAAAGUUCGAGUACUCGAAAAGUCAAGUGCCAUCAGAAAUCAAGUGAGUGUGUGCGAAGCGUGCUAGUUACAAAUCGAACAAUUAAAACCUGUGACAAAACUGUGGAGUUUCGGUGAUCCAUUUAAAAACAAGUCCUCCUUUGCACAUCCCUUGAGCUGUCACGAACAGCUCGUUCGAUAGCCGUGCACCAGUCUCGAACAAACGACCCUCGUGAACUCGGAGCUAGAUGGCCAAAAAAUUUCCUAGAUUAGUUCGGGGCUAUACAAAAAUCACGCACUUCAUCUUUCCUGCUAAUUCGAGAUUCCAGCAGCGAGGCGCUUCAAUGACCAGCUAAUAACAUCGCCCUUUUGUGACAAUUGAUGAUGAGUAAAUUUUUCUUCCACUGUCCAAAUGUAUACCCGUGGUGGUUAUCGGUUGUUGUUGGAGGUGGUCGGAGGUCGACGAGGAUUUGUGCUCGCUCAGCGAAACUUUAACAGCUGAGUUGGCAUUGAGAGACGAGUAGACAUCACCACAUGACAAAAAAGAGAAACCAAAUACAAAAUAGUAACAGCCCUUUGCCGCAGCAUAGAUCCAUACAAGAUUCCAAGUAUUUGACAACAGUGAUACCUUAUCACAUGGACACUGGCCCACCUGAUAAUCAAGCUUUACAAGUCCUCAUUAAGAUAUCGAAGGCUAUUAAUGAGGAUAGUCCAACGGUGCCCGCAUUAUUAACGGACUACAUAUUGAAAGUUCUGUGCCCCACCUAGUGAUCCACUAGUACAUAUCCUCCGACGUGACAUCGCUGUGCUACGUAUAAAGAAGAAAAGAUUUAUUAAGAUGUAGAUUGCUCCUCUCUUGCCAUUGUGCUUUCAGCCAUUGUUGUGGUGUGUGUUUAAAAUUAAGGACAGUAUAU
rnacentral:lncRNA from 1 species